CCUGAACGCUGGCGGCGUGGCUAAGACAUGCAAGUCGCACGGAGGUAGCAAUACCUUAGUGGCGAACGGGUGAGUAAUGAAUCGCUAAUGUGCCCCGGACUCUGGGAUAGCUGCCCGAAAGGGCAGGUAAUACCAGAUGAUAUAACCGAACCGCAUGGUUUGGUUCUCAAAGGUCCGCCGGUCUGGGAGCAGGCGAUUUCGUAUCAGCUAGUUGGUGAGGUAACGGCNCACCAAGGCGACGACGCGUAGCCGGACUGAGAGGUUGGCCGGCCACAUUGGGACUGAGACACUGCCCAGACUCCUACGGGGGGCUGCAGUAACGAAUCUUCCGCAAUGCACGAAAGUGUGACGGAGCGACGCCGCGUGUAGGACGAAGCCCUUC
rnacentral:rRNA from 1 species